rnacentral:lncRNA from 10 species
AUAUUACUUUAUAGUAAUUUAUCUUAGUCCAGGUGCAGUGCCUCACACCUGUAAUCCCAGCACUUUGGAAGGCUGAGCUGGGAGGAUUGCUUGAGGCUGGCAGUUCAAGACUUCUUCCAUUUUAAGGGGCCUUGUGAUUACAGCUGGUCCAUCUGGAUAUUCUAAGAUAUUCUCCCUAUUUUAAGGAGAGAAAUCUGAAAUCUGAGGUGCAGUUGAUUUGAAUCCAGGAAAUCUAAGGAAAAAGUUCAAGCUCUUAAUCAUUUCAUACCCUUCUUGUUGCUAACUUAAACUUUUUUUUUAAAAAAGUUAAUCUUGUCUAUGAAGCAUGAAUCUAUAAUACUAGGGAAAAAACUGGCUAACUUGAAGAAAAAAUAAAUUGAAAUGAAAAGCAAUUAAUUCCUCUUAAUAUGAAUAAAGGAUGAUCUAAAUGC